GAUGAACGCUAGCUACAGGCUUAACGCAUGCAAGUCGAGGGGUAACGAGAGGAAAGCUUGCUUUCCUUGUCGACGACCGGCGCACGGGUGAGUAACGCGUAUCCAACCUGCCCCCAACUAGGGAAUAACCUUGCGAAAGUAAGACUAAUACCCUAUAAUUUCCUCAGAUGUCAUCUGACGAGGAAUAAAGAUUUAUCGGUUGUGGAUGGGGAUGCGUCUGAUUAGCUCGUUGGCGGGGUAACGGCCCACCAAGGCAACGAUCAGUAGGGGUUCUGAGAGGAAGGUCCCCCACAUUGGAACUGAGACACGGUCCAAACUCCUACGGGAGGCAGCAGUGAGGAAUAUUGGUCAAUGGGCGGAAGCCUGAACCAGCCAAGUAGCGUGCAGGAUGACGGCCCUAUGGGUUGUAAACUGCUUUUAUACAGGAAUAAAGUUAGCCACGUGUGGUUAUUUGUAGGUACUGUAUGAAUAAGGACCGGCUAAUUCCGUGCCAGCAGCCGCAGUAA
rnacentral:rRNA from 1 species